rnacentral:sRNA from 1 species
GCAGUCAGUGCUCUUAACCGCUGAGCCGUCUCUCCAGCCCCGGGUGCCCCAUUUUUGAUGUUUCAUCUUACUUUCCAUCUAACUUACCCCAGAAUGAAGAAAAACAGGAAUGGCUGCACCUACCCAGCAGGACUCACUUUGCCCCAACCAGGCAAACAGUUUCCCAAGAAGUCCUGCGGCUCCGGGCCUCACUGUGUCAUCUUGCACCACUCCAGCCAGAGCAAAGCCAGACAAGGUUGAUUCAAGAGGACCAUCCUCGAGCUUUUCUCAAGGUCUGUGACUGACCUCUUAUGGACAACUGUUUGCACAGCAAUACAUGCUCACAGCCACCCAAACUAGGAAUGAUAUAAUUACACCAAACACGUUUGGUUCUUAGAUCACAAAUUUCUAAUCCAUUCAUUCUACAAACAGAGGUAGUAACUAGUCUCUGAAGGUGCCCUCGCAAGAACCCUACCUCAUGGUAUAAAACCCUUUGAAGUCCUUUCUCACAGGAAAUCUAGAGGACCUUCAUGACACACACUGUACAGUAGAAUUCUGUGACAUGGCAUUCUUCCAGCUCUAAGUCCAAGCCUAAAGAAGGAGUCUAAUUUUCAGUUUCUAAAAUCUCUUAGCUAACUGAUCAGCGGCCUCUUGGCUAAGAUCGAGUGUAGACUCUCCUAGCUGACAAGGAAGAAGUCAGGCCACAGACUUAAAGAGACCACACAGAGAAGAGAUCACACAGAGAGUGACUCCUGCCCUGCAGACAAGCCCCAGAGGCGCCCUAAGUCAAGUUUCCAGGACCAACCGGAUUCCAGGUGCGGCAACCUAAAGCACCCAAAAUGAUUGGAAGACGUUUGCUGUUCGUGACGUCAUGAAGCCCUGGGGCAUUUCCCCACUCUCACGCCAGCUGCGCCGGGACUUCACUUGUCCUUGUGGGCUCAAGAGCGUCUGUGCGAAACCUGCUGGGUGUCUGUGAGUUUCCAGUUCCUAAAGUCCUCUGCUGGCUAGUGUUAUGACAACCUGACCCAGAGUCAUCUUGGAAGAGAACAUGUCCCUAUUAGAUGGGACUGUGGGCAAGUGCAUUUUCUUUAUUGGUGAUUGAUCCUGAUGGGACCAACUCAUCGUGAGCUAUUCCACUUCUGGGCUUGUGGUUCUAGAAGCUACAAGAAAGCAGGCUGGCCAGGCGGUACUGGCCCAGGUUUGGGAAGGAAAGAAGGAAGGAAGGAAAGAAAGAAGGAAGGAAAGAAAGAAGGAAAGAAGGAAAGAAGGAAGGAA